GCGUAGGCGGUCUUUCAAGUCAGGAGUGAAAGGCUACGGCUCAACCGUAGUAAGCUCUUGAAACUGGGAGACUUGAGUGCAGGAGAGGAGGGUGGAAUUCCUAUUGUAGCGGGGAAAUGCGUAGAUAGUAGGAGGAACACCAGUUGCGAAGUCGGCUCUCUGGCCUGUAACCGACGCUGAGGCACGAAAGCGUGGGGAGUACACAGGCUUAGAUACCC
rnacentral:rRNA from 1 species